CGCUGGCGGCGUGCUUAACACAUGCAAGUCGAACGAGACGAUUGAAAGCUUGCUUUGAGAGUCGAGUGGCAAACGGGUGAGUAACGCGUAGACAACCUGCCGCAAAGAUGGGGACAACAGUCCGAAAGGACUGCUAAUACCGAAUGUUGUCAAGUUUCCGCAUGGGAGCUUGAUUAAAGAUGGCCUCUACUUGUAAGCUAUCGCUUUGCGAUGGGUCUGCGUCUGAUUAGCUGGUUGGUGGGGUAACGGCCUACCAAGGCGACGAUCAGUAGCCGGUCUGAGAGGAUGAACGGCCACAUUGGAACUGAGACACGGUCCAGACUCCUACGGGAGGCAGCAGUGGGGAAUCUUCCGCAAUGGGCGAAAGCCUGACGGAGCAACGCCGCGUGAGUGAAGAAGGGUUUCGGCUCGUAAAGCUCUGUUGACGGGGACGAAUGUGCGAAAUGCGAACAGUUUUUCGCAAUGACGGUACCCGUCGAGGAAGCCACGGCUAACUACGUGCCAGCCGCGGC
rnacentral:rRNA from 1 species